rnacentral:tRNA from 1 species
GGCAUGGUAGCCGAGUGGUAAAAGCGUUUAUAGCUAUUUACCGAAUAUCGAUGGUUCGAAUCCAUCCCGUACAACA